rnacentral:rRNA from 1 species
UAAAUUGCCGUGGUAUUUUGACCAUGCUAAGGUAGCAUAAUCAUUUGGUUUUUAAUUGAGAUCUGGCAUGAAGGGUUGAACGAGAGCUUUCCUUUAUUAAUCUAUUGGUAAAAUUUAAUUUUUAGGUGAAGAAGCCUAAAUGAAAGAAAAGGACAAGAAGACCCUAUCGAGUUUUAUUAUUUUAGUAUAUACAUAUACAGCAGAAAUUUGGUUGGGGCAACCAAAGAAUUAACUUCUUUUUAGAAAUUUUUUAAAAAUUGAGGAAGUUACCGUAGGGAUAACAGCAUUAUUUUUUUUUAGAGCUCUAAUCGAAAAAAAAGUUUGUGACCUCGAUGUUGGACUAAGAUAACCUUAGGGAGUAGAAAUUCUAGGGGGUUGGUCUGUUCGACCAUAAAAAUCUUAC